GCCUUUGUGGUGUAAUGGUCAGCACGCUCGACUCGUAUUCGAGAGGUCCGUGGUUCGAGUCCCGGCAAGGACA
rnacentral:tRNA from 1 species